UAACUGCUUCAGUUUGAAAUGGUCU
rnacentral:piRNA from 1 species